rnacentral:rRNA from 1 species
GACGAACGCUGGCGGCGUGCUUAACACAUGCAAGUCGAACGAGAGCGUAGAGAAAGCUUGCUUUUUCUACAAUCUAGUGGCAAACGGGUGAGUAACGCGUAAACAACCUGCCCUACGGAUGGGGACAACAGCUGGAAACGGCUGCUAAUACCGAAUACGUUCCGAAAGUCGCAUGACUAUCGGAAGAAAGGAUGGCCUCUAUUUAUAAGCUAUCGCCGGAGGAGGGGUUUGCGUCUGAUUAGCUAGUUGGAGGGGUAACGGCCCACCAAGGCGACGAUCAGUAGCCGGUCUGAGAGGAUGAGCGGCCACAUUGGGACUGAGACACGGUCCAGACUCCUACGGGAGGCAGCAGUGGGGAUUCUGCCGCAAUGGGUGAAAGCCUGACGGAGCAACGCCGCGUGAGUGAAGACGGCCUUCGGGUUGUAAAGCUCUGUUAUACGGGACGAAUAAUCUUGUGGUUAAUACCCAUGAGAAGUGACGGUACCGGAAGAGAAAGCCACGGCUAACUACGUG